GUAGUAUUCCCUCCGUCCCAAAAUUCUUGUCUUACAUUUGUUUAGAUACAGAUGUAUCUAACACUAAAAUGUAACUAGAUACAUCCGUAUUUAGAAAAAUUUAAGACAAGAAUUUUGGGCCGGAGGGAGUACAAA
rnacentral:pre_miRNA from 1 species